AAAUUUUGUUCUUUUUUUUUUAUGACGUACUCGUUAUGAUUCAGCAGAAAGAAGGGGCCUGAGUCUAUUUUGCAGUAGAAAGUCGGAGAGUGAAAAAUUUAUAAAUUUUGCCAAAUCAAUUUUGCCUCUCUCCAUCAAAGUCAAAAGACGGCCAAUCUCCGUAUGAUUAUAUGUGAGAGUUCAGGUGAUCUCACAAUUUCAGUGUCGAAACAAACGCCAACACUGACGAUUUUCUCAUAAUCACGAGUUUAAACUUUGAAAUCGACAAAAAUGUUGAGCAGUGGUG
rnacentral:lncRNA from 1 species